rnacentral:SRP_RNA from 1 species
GCUGGGCACGGUGGCUCAUGCCUGUAAUCCCAGCACUUUGGAAGGCUGAGGUGGGUGGAUCACUUGAGGUCAGGAGUUUGAGACCAAUCUGGCCAACAUGGUGAAACCCCGUCCCUACUCAAAAAAUACAAAAAUCUAGCCGGGCGAGGUNNNNNNNNNNACCUCGCCCGGCUAGAUUUUUGUAUUUUUUAGUAGAGACGGGGUUUCACCGUGUUAGCCAGGAUGGUCUCGAUCUCCUGACCUCGUGAUCCGCCCGUCUU